UCUUAUGGAUAAGCAAAGAAAGUGAUUUCUUGAGAUGGAAUUUAUUCUUGGUGAAGGUGCUGUGGA
rnacentral:pre_miRNA from 1 species